rnacentral:rRNA from 1 species
GAUGAACGCUGGCGGCGUGCUUAACACAUGCAAGUCGAACGGUCGCAAGACAGUGGCGCACGGGUGAGGAACACGUAGCUUAUCUGCCCCGAAGUGUGGGAUAACGCUCCGAAAGGAGUGCUAAUACCGCAUAAGCUCCCGAGCUAUAGAGGCUUGGGAGAAAAGGCGCAAGUCGCUUUGGGAGGAGGCUGCGGCCCAUCAGGUAGUUGGUGCGGUAACGGCGCACCAAGCCAACGACGGGUAGGGGACCUGAGAGGGUGAUCCCCCACACU